CUCUCUCUCUCUCUCUGUGUGUGUUGGUGGAGGCAGAUCUGUUCCACUGCUGGGUGCGGCACUGCAGAAGCCCUUCAGGGAGCACUUGGAGGCCCAGAAGGCCAAGCUGCACCAUCGCGCCGGAGAGGGGAUCCCAACUGAGGAGAACUGGCUGUCGUGGCUCUUUGAGAAGGUUGUGGUCAUCAUGGUAUGCUUCUUUGUCUGCUCCAUUGUCAACUCCAUGGCCCAGAGCUACGCCAAGCGCAGGCAGCGGGAGAAACAGUCAGAGGACAAGGCGGAGUGAAGGCCGGCCGUCAAUCACGGCAGACCAUCAACUUCCGAAGCUCCCACCUCUCUCCUCUCCCUCACGGCCGAUACCCCUCCAUUAUCUGAAGCAGCAUAUCAGCCCCCAUCGGGUUUCUCUCUUGUUAUUGUAGCAACAUGUUGAUGUUGAACUUGGACUUCCCCUCGGUCACUUUUUAAGGCUUUUGCAUUUGGUAGUAAUUUCUGCGAUUGUUCCCUGUAAGGUAGGUGCUUGUUGGGCUCUGUGUGAGUGUGUGUGUGGAGGCUGCUGUGUUGGUCCCAUGCAGUUGGUGCUUCGAGCAGCUCCUGAGCACGUGAGAAGAAGCUGCCGGCAAUAAUUCUCCUCAAUGAGGCCUAGAUGAGCCACUGCUGGUUUUACUAGAACAUCCUCCCAAGUCUCAUAUCUCCACAGAGUCACUUGAAUUAACUUUUUCUAGUUUAAGCUUGGAUAUUUGUUACUUUUGAUGAUGUGGUGAGUGUUCUGUAAAUCCAGUGGAUUGUUCAGUAACCUAUUUAUUUAUGAUUUAUAUUUAGUUAAUUUAUUGAUAAGAUAGUCUGUAUUUAUUACUGUCAAGAGUUGAACAGUAUUGGUUGUGGUUACUUAGGAGACGUAAAUGGACUGUAAGUCAUGAUGUGCUCUUCUGAGCCACCUAAUUUCGACACAUUGUGGAGUACUAAGUCAGCUGUACAUGUUAAUGAAUGUUUCACAGUGUCUGUGGUGCUUUGUGUGUGCGCAGUAAAGCACAUUUUGGUAGUUUUGGUUGAGAAAUGAGAAAUCGGCCAUGAAUCACCCUGCUUGUCCCUUUGUCUGCCCUUAUUGUUCUGCUUCCAGGAAGAGAGCACAUGAGUCAGCCUGAAGCUACUUUACCAGAUGCAGCCAUAUAUUGAAUCAGAUCUACGACUGUGUGUGUGUGAGACAAAGAGCAAGACAGAGAUAGUAGGUUGUGUUUGCGUGGCUGCCAAAUUUGUAGCUCUCUUUUAUCUUUUAUGGAUUAGAGCAGAUUGUGCUCCACUAAUAGACUGAGAGUCUGCCGGGAAGUGGUAGUGAGGCAGAUCGUAGGUGCUCGCUCGAACUCAGACAGUCUGUGUCAUGGUAAGUGUUUUUCUUUGUCUCCAAUUCUCCACCGAGCUUUUUUUUUUUUUUAUCCUUUUCACCCACGAUGAGGACAGAGAGCUCAUGUUUGACAUCACAUGAGCAGCUCCUAACACAGCAGCAUUUUAUAUGAUCCGUGUUCCGUUAUUUUUACCUUUUUUUGCUCGUGGGACGACAUCAGCCGGCUCUCAAUAUAUGCACUACCCUCUUUUUUCUGUAAUUGCCCGUGAAUUGUGCUAUUUUCUUCUCCGUCUCUGUACCGCUGCUGUGCUAUGCUGGACUGAGCGCAGUGGGCGCUAGAGCAGGCACAAGCGGGAGGGGGGAAAAAAAGCCUCAAGCGCACAGUGAAAAGCGUCUGUGCCGUUACCUCAGCUGAACCUUCAAAUGAACUCGUUGCACUGCCCCAGUCAUGGAGCCAGGAGACGAAUCACUCGAGUAGAUUCAAAACAGAGGGGCACUGUUGAGCAGGCUGAAGCCUCCGCUCUGCACCAGCUCUAGUCCAAACGUUCACCUCUCCUUUUCUCCUGUCAUGGUAAGUGGGAUUAGGAUUCUUUUGUUUAGCUUUUUUUUUUCAUUUCUUUUGUUUCUGUACAUGUGUCCGUGUGUACAUGUCUCAGGCAUGUCCGUCACUCUCUCGGCCUGUCAGAUAGCUUAUCAGACUGGUGUUGGCUGUUUAGUUUGCAAGGCGACAACAGUCUGUAGGCUGUCUGACAUUUCGGGCUCUUUCAUCUUGACCAGCAUCCUGUUUUGUCCUCCUUCUGUUACUGUCAUUGUCUCAGUUAGCAUCAGUUCCCAUUUAGAGGUGUGCUCUGCCGAUGUCACUUCCCUUUAUCCAAACCGCUUGUGAAACGUCAGAGACACGGGGCCAUUGUUUAUUUCCUCCUUGCUGACGCCUGUGAGGGAUUUAAUGUGGUUUCAUGUGGGGAACUGUGUCUUCACAUGUUUUGCAAAUGCUGAUGUCAAUUGUGUACUUCUGUAUUUGUACACGUGCAUGUGUGUGUGUGUGCGUGAAAGUUGGCUGUGUCCACACGAAUUUCCUGAGAAUCCAGACGGUACACACCUUAUUGCAACACAUCACAUUGUGACACCCAGUCCUAGGUACGGUACACGCAGUGCUCAAGCAGCUCUCCUCUUCCCUUUCACACUUCCCUCUUCUCUUCAACUCAGAACUUUCUUCUCUUGCUCAAUACGCACUUUUUUGUAGGAGGCUGCAGUUUAUUAUAACGACUCUCCUGAGAGAGAGUUUCUUUUUUUUUUUUCUCAGGGCCACACAUUGGUAAUUAUACAAAGCUUCAAAUCAUUGCUUGACCAGUGGAUGCUUUUUACUGCAGAGCCUCAGUUUUAUUUUAGAUUAUUCUUUUUUUUCUCCACCAGUGCAAAAGUGUAAAACUUUUUCCUGGUCAUAAAAACAAAAAUCAUUGGAUAACACUGGAAUGGCUCGCUGGCUUAGCGAGUGUUUUUCUUGGCAGUUUCAGGAUGUCCUGUUCCAUAAGGGAGCCCCCUUUUAGCAUGCCUGUCUGUGUGCGUGUGUGUGAGUGUGUGUGCCUACAUUUGUCUAGAAAAUGUGUUUCUAUUUCUAUGUGCAAGUGCCUGUAUCUCUCGUGUAUCAGUCUGUAACCGGGUCAUUUUAAAUGUGGAUGUAUGCACUGUAUUUUUUCUCUGCUUUCACUAUAAAUAAAGUUGGUCAGAAAAAGGA